AAAAUACUGAUUUGUCGGAAGUUUGUCUGCUUACUUUCACUUUCAUUUUAGCAGACGACACAGAAAAAAUGGAUUUGUUUGUUGUGAAAUCGAAACAAGUGAAAUUAUACAAUGGUGAUGUUGACAUCAAAGACCCCACUCCGAGUACUGAUGAAACCGAUGUCCAGGGAAGUCUUACCAAGGGCAGUCUGCAGUAUCAUCACCCAUCUCUGAUUCAGUCAUUUCCAAAGCUGACACCUCACUUGGCAAGUUCCUUUGCAAUGAAGGAUGGGAGAGUCCACUAGGCAUAAAUGGGUUAAUGAGAUCUGUCUAAAGGUUAGCAGCAAGGCAGUGUCCAACAAUAGUUCUUCAACAUCAAAGCAGUCUCUCAAAAGGACCUCGUGCUCUGCAUCUCAACGCAUCUUCAAGUCGGUCUCUAUCCCUGAUCUUGCAGAGUUGCCCCACCCUAAUGAGCUCUUUGGAUAUAAACGAACUCCAGGAAAGGUCAAGAGAAGACCUGCUAUGUCGUCUGUGGAGCAGCAUAUACAAGAACUGCAUACAAAGAUGGCCAAACUAUCAAGAGAUUCAGCGAAGUCACAUGAUCCAGACUCAAAACAAACUGCCAACGGAUUUCCUGAUAAAAAACGCAGACAUUCGUUAGAAAACGAUGAAAUUACAAAGAACCCAAAGCAGACUGCAAUAGAGCUGGAAAAAGUGCAGAACUCGCCAAUUUUCACAUUCAAAUUUCAUCAAUAUCUGGAAGAAUGAACUAACACUAUGUAGCGGAUAUUAAUCUUUAUCAUUCUGUCGCAAAGUGUACUUUGUCA